rnacentral:tRNA from 1 species
AGUUAAUUAGCUAAUAGCAUUAUACCUUGAAAGUAUAAAGAAGGAACUAAUAAUCCUAUUAACUU